AUGAUGGAUGUUGGUGACCCAGAGCCUAGCCACCUGCCAAAUCUGGCAACAUUAAGAAAAGCCAAACAAGAGAUGGGUGACAAAGAGCUUGGAGACAAAGACCCAAUCAUGUCAUUGCAUCUACUAAAAUACAGUGUACCCCACAAUGGAAGCAUUCAUGACAUAGGCCUUGAUAGGUUUUUUUGUCAUUACUGGACCCCAUCUCAGAUGCAAGUGUAUCAAAUGAAAUCCAAGUACUCUGGCUCAUUUAUGAGUUUUGAUGCAACAGGUACAGUUGUGAAAAGACUGAGAAGACCCUGUGGCAAUUCUGGACAUGUCUUCCUGUAUCAAGGAGUUUUGUGUUCACAGGGAGAUCAUAUUCCAGUAGUGCAAAUGCUAUCAGAGAGCCACACCAUCAAUUCUAUUUCCAACUGGCUUACUGAAUGGCAACGAGCAGGUGCUGCGGUUCCCAAAGAAGCGGUCUGUGAUUUCUCCUUGGCUUUGCUUGGAGCACUGGUUAAGGCCUUCACUCCUUACCCAGACUUGAAAACAUACAUCAAUCAGUGCUUUGGAGUGCUGGCAGGAAAGCCUGAAGAAUCAAAGCUGCCACCUUGCUUCAUCAGAGUAGAUGUUGCACACGGCAUCAAGCUCAUUAGCCGGUGGGAAUGCUUAAGACAAAAAGGAAACAGAGUUAGAGAAUUUUAUCUACGAGCCAUGGCACAACUUUUACAGUCUGAUACACUGGAAGAUGCAAGGGAGCUCAUUCAUUCAAUUGCAGUUGUUGCCUUCAGUGAAUCAGAAGGAAAUGAUGACAAAGGUUUACCUGUUGUCUCGGAAACAUGCAAAGCACAAUUGAAGAGACGAUUUGCAGAGGGGGUCUUGCCAUGUGUCACUGAAGAUGACCAUUUAACAGAGGUGACUGGAGUCGAGGAGACACUUCACACAGAUCUGAAAACAUGGGUUACAGAAAUCUGUGAAGAAAGUAAGAUGAUUGCAGCACAUCAUGGUGACAGAGACAAUCUUAACUUCCUUCCAGAGCUUGUCCCAAAUAUAAUAAGAAUGGCAUGCUACCUACCUCUUUGGACAGCUGUGAUGGUUCCACACUUCAAAAGUGUACACAACACAGCAAGCUCUGCAAAUGUUGAGGCUGAAUUUAAAAACAUAAAACAUGGUCUUUUCAAACAUGAAAGUCUCCCCAUCCGAAUUGACCGUUUUGUCAUACGCCACCUUGAGUUUCUUGAGGGAAACAUGAGGCUUUCCUCUGCACCGGUGAAGACAGAGCACACUGAGACAAAGAAUCAGAAGACAAAAACGGCCCAUAGUGAGCAGGACACAGAGGUUAAGCAACAGUCAGUGGAGGAAGACCCUGUUGAAAACUGGAAAGGCCUCGGUGUUCAUCCAAAAAAGCGACUGUCCUACUUGACCCCUUGCUCUGAGUGGUUGCAUGCAGACAUAAACCUGAAAAGAAAAAAGACAAGAAUUAAUGUCAUGAAAAAUGGCAACUACCAGGCUAAUAAGCCCAUCUUGGUUGACAAAAUGCUUGUAAGUGUAAAUAAUACCUGUGCCUUUGAUUCCUUUUGCCAGUGCCUUUGCUCUGCAUUCUGCGACAGUGGGUCAUUUUGUCAUUAUCUCAACAGAGAGCAAACUGACAUGGUUGAUUUAGUAAAGACCAUAGUGACAAAAGGAGUUGCAAAAGAGGCUUAUGCAAAGAGGGCAAAAAUGCUGUUGGAUACAUUUGAGUGUGUUCACCUAAAAUCAGGUGUGAGGCAGGUCAAUGCGGAUUGCAAUGUUGCAGACAUUAUCGCUUCCACAAUGAAAGAAAUGCCAAGUGCAACACUUACAGCUGAGUGCUCUUCUCCAUACUGCAGCCGACAUACGAAAUCGUCUAGGACCAUCUAUCUCCUACCAGUAAAUGUAGAUAUUUUACAAACUGGUGGACUGAAGAGCCUCCAAGCAGCGCUGGAAGAUGGUCUACACCUCAACAGGUCCAAAUGCUUGAAGCCACUGAAAUCACCCCAAGAGUGUCCAGACAGCUGGAAAGUUAAGGAUGAUCAAUCAGUGAAAUUCCUCUGUAAUGGCUCGGUAACACACAGAUGCAUAACUGGACAACUGUUGUGUAUCGAAACAAGUAUGGAUACAAACCAUCCACUUUCGGAAAUCCCGGUCCACAUGGAGCUGGACAAUCAGCUUUUCACUUUGCGAGGGGUUGUCGCAUUCAUUUCAGGACCAACAAGACAAUCUCUUGGACAUUACGUGGCAUACUGCAGAAGAAACGGUUCAGCCUGGGAAAAAUACGAUGAUCUGUGUGACUAUGUCACAACAGUCUCAGCAAAAACCAAAAUACAACCCCAUGUCACCUUGUUCACAAAGGACUAA
rnacentral:lncRNA from 1 species